UUUUUUUGAAAUUUACUUUUGAAAGGUGACAUUUUGGUGACUUUUUAAGAAUAUGCGCCAUCUUUUAUUUCAUUCUUUUUUUGGUGGCGGGGGUGGUGGUGCCAGGGAUUGAACUCAAGGGUACUCAACCACUGAGCCACAUUCUCAGCCCUAUUUCAUAUUUUAUUUAGAGACAGGGUCUCAAUGAGUUGCUUAGCACCUUGCUGUUGCUGAGGCUGACUUUGAACUCACGAUGCUCCUGCCCCAGCUUCCCAAGUCACUGGGAUUAUAGGCAUGCAUCACCACACCUGGCUAUUUCACCCCCCCCCCUUUUUUUUAAUGGACACAAUAUUUUAUUUUAUUCACUUUUUUGUGGUGUUGAGGAUCAAGCCCAGUGCCUCACACAUGCCAGGUGAGCGCUCUACCACUGAGCCACAACCCCAACCCUAUUUCAUUCUUUUUUAACAUAUCCAAUAAAAAAAUUUAAAAUUCUUCAUCUGGUCACAGUGGUGCUCGCUCAUAAUCACAGCUAGUUGGGAAACUGAGGCAGGAGGAUCCCAAGUUCGAGGGCAGCUUGGGCAACUUAGUAAGCCCUGUCUCAAAAAAGAAACCAAAAGGGCCAGGGAUGUAGCUCAAUGGUAGAAUGCUUGGUGUGAGGCCCAGUACUGCAGAAUAAAUAAUUAAUUAAUGUAAAAAUAAAAAUUUGCCAUUAGGGCAAUGAAAUAGCUUUUAUUAGUGUUUUAUCCUACUUAAUUAAAUUGUUCUACAGUACAAGUUUCCAAGUGUUCUCUUGAUAUAAUCAUAAAGAUAGGCUUAAUUCACAUAGUAACACUCUGGGACAAAAAGAGAGAGAAGUCCAUUGAGACUCGGGCUCAGAGUUAUUUGAGGGCUGAUCAAGUAGGCUUCCUCUGCCAAGCAUGGGAUAAAAUUCCAAACUCCCAGAGAGAAAAAAGAAUAGGAGUUAAGUAAAUACCAUAUUGUUCACAUAAACAGUUCAGGCUCACUGAGCCCUGGGUGCCUUCCAAAAUCCAGUUCCCAAAUGCCGGCAAAGGUUGAAAACUUUGAACAAGCACUUGUAAGGUCAUUCAGUUUCAGGACUGCUAUUCUUAACUCUUUUCCACCCAGAGUUAGUAGGACUUGGGUACGAGAGGUACUGUAGACCUAGGGUACAGAGAGAAAGUAGGGGUGAUUCAGGCACCAUGUUUUAAAUCACUGAGUUCACCAACAGAAGGUAUGUUUCUAUUCCACUGUUGCUUUACUGACUCCUUCAGUCCUAACAUUAGAACAGCUGUGCAGGAAGAAGUCAGUGAAGACGGAGAGUGAGAAUCUGAUGAACGAGUCAUGAGAUAAAUAAAUGGGGGCCUCAGAGUCAUGUGAACUGAUGAAUUGAGUACACACCCCGUGCUGUCGGCAUCACCCUUCCUCCUGUGCACGUGCAGAUCUCUCGGGACUCACUGGGCUUUGAAGGCUGAACUUCAGCUGGAAGGAGAGAACUUUGCUGGAUCCUUCCCACAACACUCUCUACCAAGAUGCAGUGCUGGCAGCCCUCAAGAACCUGGCCUUUGAAGGUAUGCGUGAGAUCAUGCCAGAUUAGCUGGAGGUCAAGAGUUUCUUGCUCAUCAAUGCUGCUCAGUGAUUUAGAAAAUGGAAGGGGAGUACUUUGGUGAAUAAAUCAAGAUGGCCUUAGUGUACCAUAAGCCUAGAAUCGGAUAUUUUUUAUAAUGGUGUAAUUAAUUCAUAAUGAUUUUCUAGGUCUACAUUUUAGAAAUAAAAUUGGAAGACUAGAACAUUGAAGACCAGUGCAGAAAUCCCAGGAGAAAUCAAAGGUAAUUUGUAAGAGAAAACUUUGUUCCUUGAAAGGAUCUUAGAAUCUUAAAAAAUAAGAUUAAAUAAAA
rnacentral:lncRNA from 1 species